CCUACGGGUGGCAGCAGUGAGGAAUAUUGGUCAAUGGACGAGAGUCUGAACCAGCCAAGUAGCGUGAAGGAUGACUGCCCUAUGGGUUGUAAACUUCUUUUAUAUAGGAAUAAAACGAGGCACGUGUGCCUUUUUGUAUGUACCUUAUGAAUAAGGAUCGGCUAACUCCGUGCCAGCAGCCGCGGUAAUACGGAGGAUCCGAGCGUUAUCCGGAUUUAUUGGGUUUAAAGGGAGCGUAGAUGGGUUGUUAAGUCAGUUGUGAAAGUUUGCGGCUCAACCGUAAAAUUGCAGUUGAUACUGGCAGUCUUGAGUACAGUUGAGGUAGGCGGAAUUCGUGGUGUAGCGGUGAAAUGCUUAGAUAUCACGAAGAACCCCGAUUGCGAAGGCAGCUUACUAAACUAUAACUGACAUUGAUGCUCGAAAGUGUGGGUAUCAAACAGGAUUAGAUACCCCUGUAGUC
rnacentral:rRNA from 1 species